GACGAGGGGUCCAAGCGUUAUCCGGAUUCACUGGGUUUAAAGGGUGCGUAGGUGGGCAGGUAAGUCAGUGGUGAAAUCUCCGGGCUUAACUCGGAAACUGCCAUUGAUACUAUCUGUCUUGAAUACCGUGGAGGUUAGCGGAAUAUGUCAUGUAGCGGUGAAAUGCUUAGAUAUGACAUAGAACACCAAUUGCGAAGGCAGCUGGCUACACGAAUAUUGACACUGAUGCACGAAAGCGUGGGGAUCAAACAGG
rnacentral:rRNA from 1 species